UCUCUGUGAUGAUGAAUCAAAGAUGACGAGUCUGAUCAUUAUCCAUUCUAUUAAAUAUUGAUGACAAUUCGAGGCAUUUGUCUGAGAGGA